AAUUUUAGGAAAAUUAAAUACCAGUGAUUCAAGAUGCAGAGACACAAGUUCAGUAUCCAAAAUAAAAACUUUUAUUUUUAGACCUCUUGUUAUGAAGUCAGUGUAGGUGUGGAGUGUCGAUGUGUACACUUUCAAGUGGGCCUAGAAUGGGCCCUGCAUGGUAAUCUGCAGGAAGCACUGAAUAAUAAACUGGAGUUGCGUCUAAUGGUUAUAUUCAAGCUUGGAAAUAAAACAUUGGCUAUAUGUAUUAUUCUUUGUCAUUUUAGUCACCCCUUAAUGUCCUCCAAACAGGUGGGUGAAACCCAGCCCAAGAUACCUUUUGGGAAAUGCUACACUGAGAUCCUUUGGCAAUCUCGUAACCCCCCCCCCCCCGGCGAUGUUUUAUUAUAAAAAUAUAGCGAAGUUCAAAAAGAUUUCACUGUUAAGAUUCUGCCAUUCUUGUUUAUCACAUUUAUCGAAUUCCCUCCCCAUUCAUCAAUCCAGCAAAGCAGAGGUGGGUUUCAAGAGGUGAUUCCAAAGGAUGUGCCUCACACACCUUCAACUUCAGGGUCCGGACGGUGACCGUAUUUCCUCCCUACCCUUCCAUAGGGGACGACCGUGGCGGCCCGGCCCCAUCCUGGGCUGGGCCGGAGGGCGGGGCGCUGCGGGCUCACCGGCUGGCGGAAGCGGUAGGCGGGUGGCCACACGCGGAGAGACUGCGGGCUGUACGCGGGGACGCGGGCCGCUAAGUGCGCUGGGAGCGCGGGGCUACGCUCGAGUGCGCUCCUGGGCGCUGGCCACCGCCGCUGCCGCCGCGCCUUUGAGUCAGCAAAGUCCGCCGCCUGGUCGCGGCCGGCCGGCCUUGCGCUGCCCUUUCCUGAGGAGCUGCCGACCCUUAGGAAAAUAA
rnacentral:lncRNA from 1 species